CCUACGGGUGGCAGCAGUAGGGAAUAUUGCUCAAUGGGGGAAACCCUGAAGCAGCAACGCCGCGUGGAGGAUGAAGGUUUUCGGAUUGUAAACUCCUUUUGUUAGAGAAGAUAAUGACGGUAUCUAACGAAUAAGCACCGGCUAACUCCGUGCCAGCAGCCGCGGUAAUACGGAGGGUGCAAGCGUUACUCGGAAUCACUGGGCGUAAAGAGCGCGUAGGCGGGAUAGCAAGUCAGAUGUGAAAUCCUAUGGCUUAACCAUAGAACUGCAUUUGAAACUGUUAUUCUAGAGGAUGGGAGAGGUAGGUGGAAUUCUUGGUGUAGGGGUGAAAUGCGUAGAGAUCAAGAGGAAUACUCAUUGCGAAGGCGACCUGCUAGAACAUAACUGACGCUGAUGCGCGAAAGCGUGGGGAGCAAACAGGAUUAGAUACCCCGGUAGUC
rnacentral:rRNA from 1 species